ACCUAUCAGCUGGCCUUGCAGAUCAGCAAGCAGGAAGCAACCCUGUACUUUGCAUUGCAGAAUGCUGGCUUCCCGCCUGCCUGAUCUGCAAGGCCAGCUGACAGGC